rnacentral:rRNA from 1 species
ACUGGAAUUCCUGGUGUAGCGGUGAAAUGCGCAGAUAUCAGGAGGAACACCGAUGGCGAAGGCAGGUCUCUGGGCAUUAACUGACGCUGAGGAGCGAAAGCAUGGGGAGCGAACAGGAUUAGAUACCCUGGUAGUCCAUGCCGUAAACGUUGGGCACUAGGUGUGGGGGACAUUCCACGUUUUCCGCGCCGUAGCUAACGCAUUAAGUGCCCCGCCUGGGGAGUACGGCCGCAAGGCUAAAACUCAAAGGAAUUGACGGGGGCCCGCACAAGCGGCGGAGCAUGCGGAUUAAUUCGAUGCAACGCGAAGAACCUUACCAAGGCUUGACAUGAACCGGAAAUACCUGGAAACAGGUGCCCCGCUUGCGGUCGGUUUACAGGUGGUGCAUGGUUGUCGUCAGCUCGUGUCGUGAGAUGUUGGGUUAAGUCCCGCAACGAGCGCAACCCUCGUUCUAUGUUGCCAGCGCGUUAUGGCGGGGACUCAUAGGAGACUGCCGGGGUCAACUCGGAGGAAGGUGGGGACGACGUCAAAUCAUCAUGCCCCUUAUGUCUUGGGCUUCACGCAUGCUACAAUGGCCGGUACAAAGGGUUGCGAUACUGUGAGGUGGAGCUAAUCCCAAAAAGCCGGUCUCAGUUCGGAUUGGGGUCUGCAACUCGACCCCAUGAAGUCGGAGUCGCUAGUAAUCGCAGAUCAGCAACGCUGCGGUGAAUACGUUCCCGGGCCUUGUACACACCGCCCGUCAAGUCACGAAAGUUGGUAACACCCGAAGCCGGUGGCCUAACCCCUUGUGGGAGGGAGCUGUCGAAGGUGGGACUGGCGAUUGGGACUAAGUCGUAACAAGGUAACCGUAA